rnacentral:tRNA from 1 species
GAAUUUUAAGUAUAAUUUUUUUUGUAUAACUAAUUGUUGAUUAGUAGGUUAAAGAUUCU